rnacentral:tRNA from 1 species
GCCGAGGUGGCGGAAUUGGUAUACGCGUAGGUCUCAAAAACCUAUGAACAUUAUGUUCGUGAGGGUUCGAUUCCCUCCCUCGGCA